rnacentral:tRNA from 1 species
GCCUGGCUGGCUCAGUUGGUAGAGCAUGGGACUCUUGAUCUCAGGGUUGUGAGUUCAAGCCCCGUGCUGGGUG